CCCACACAAAUUCCCCUAAAUAAACGAAAAUUACUCGUUCCAUAUCUCCAAUCUCUCUCUCUCUCUCUCUCUCUCUCUCUCUCUCCUCUUUUGUUUUGUUUUCUUCACUUUCUGCAUCAAACAUCUUCCUCUGUCUGGCAUAACUAAAUCCUUGCCGGGAAAAAAGAUAUCCUGACGGCAACCGAGUGCGAAGGACCUAGUCUCCUCGAACAAUACCAAUGCUUGGAUUUUUUAUGAUUAUGGUUUGUUAGAUGACAUUCAUCUUCCCUCACUUAACCCUUCUGCCCUAAUCUGGUCAUCUCCCUCCCUUACUUGUUCUACUCCUCUCAGUGAAAUCCAGAAGUACCAGCAAAGUUCUGAGAACUCCUCAUCAGGAAACUGCCUUUCUAAAGGCUCGUUCGUGAAAUUGCCCAAGACUUUAAGGUAUGAGCCAUUAUCCUUUCUCUUAGGCAAGGAGUACUUUCUUCACAGCUACGGUCCAAUAUAUGCUCUUUCAGCUGAUGUUGUUGCAAGUUUGGUUGCUCUAAGAAACGACAGGUACUAUUAAUGAUUUCAUAUCUAAUCCAUAGUUAUCUGUUAAAUCGAUUCCCUCUGUUCUUUAUGUGUCUUGUUGGCGUCUUGUCUAUAUUUGGGUCAUAGAUUUUGACUUGCUGACAAUGUUGGUUUUGUAUAUUCGGCAACUGUUUGGGCAAGAGAUUAUUGAAAUGUUUCUUUGUGAUCGUAUCUGGAUUUUGGGCUAUUUUUCUUUUUCUUAUAUUUUGUGGUUUUACUGAGUUUGCAGCGGCAAGAGACAAUGUUGGUUUUACUCGUGUUUGUGCAAAGUACUGUGUGAAGUGUAUAUGUUGGUGCAUUUAAUUAAAUAAGUUGGUUCUUUCA